GGGACUAAAAUAGUAAUGAGCUCCCCCAGCGCCAGGGGAACCGCCGUCUGAAUGUGUGUGUGGAAAGAACUCAUCUGAAUAUCUCCCAGGCACGAUCGCGCCUCGCCAGAGAGAGAAAAAGCAACUUCUGGACGCGUCGUCAACAUUCUGUUUGUCUCAAAUUGGCGACAGGACUGAGAAAGAAAGCGAGAGAGGGACAACAGCCUAGAGACACCCAGAGAGAGAGAGAGAUUGGGGGACUGGGGAGGGACAAUUAAAACGGGGUGACUGGCGAAAGCAGAAGACUUGAAUGAUCAAUGCAACAGGAAUGAGUGACAGUUCCCUUCCAAAUUGUCCCCCCCUUCACCCGCCCACUCGUAAUGGGGAAAAAAGGUGUUUUUUUUAAAAAUACUAGGAACCCGCUUGUAAUUAAAUGCAGUUCGUGUGUGUGUGUGUGUGCGCCAAGGAUACUAAAACCAAUUGGUUACGUUUAGCACGCCGUGUGAUUUCUCUCUCACCCUGCCCCCACCCCCCCCCCCACCGUCUUGUUCCUUUUUUUCUCCACAGUCUGUGUGAGUCAUUGUUUUAAACACGCGGAUGCAACAGAAGCUGUAAUCUGAUUAGCCAGCAGCUGUGGGGCUAAGAGAACAUCGCUCAGUUUCUGAGGGCAGCCAUAGGAGAUGCUGAAACUGACUCGAAAUUGACGGAGUCGCUUGUUGGCGGGAAAAGGGCGCAACUCGGUCUCAUUCGGCAGUGACUGCAGCCACAAGGUAUUCCCCAGGCGUCGAGGUAUCUUGCUCGAACUCCAGACUCAUCCACAGACUUGAAGACAGACCGAGGAACGAAUCGUCCCAUAAAAUAGACGAAAGAUCCGACUCAGGCAGCGGUUUACUUAAACAGCUAAUGCCAAAAACAACUUUUAAACAAAAUCUUCCCUUGAAAUCAUCGAACAAUUUGCCCCCCGACACAAAAAAAUCUUAAAACAGAAUUGUCUUCCAAGGCCGCGUUACACUGACAUAUAAUGCAAGGAGUUUGAAACGGAGUGGUAAAGUUUCAACGUGACAAAAAAAAGCAAACCCAUUUUCUUGAGUAUAUUAUUUCCUCCACGCUGUCUCUGUCUGCGACCGUAUGAUUUAUUAUCAAGAAUAAAAAGAACUUUGCAUGCUGGUACAAAACUGUGCCUCAUCUGUUUAGCAAUGACCGCCCGACAUCAGCUAUCCCUGAGAAUGAAUCAUGUCGGGUUAGUGAAAACGGAGUGAGGAGAGAAUGGAAUCGGGGGAGCAAGCCAGAGAGAGAAGCAGAGAGAGAGAGAGAUGUGACGAGACAGGGGACGGUAUGAAGCGGCCCUGGGUAUUUCACGGAGUGGGAGAAUAAAAAGAGAGCAGGGAGACAGAUUAAUUGAACGGCCUGCUAAAUGUGAAAAAAGAGAAUAAAGCAAGAGAUCACGUUCGAUCAUACGGCACAGAAGUAGGAAGGGCGAUUUUAGUCACUUUCUUUUUGCUCGCUUUACUUGUCUGAGGAUUCGUUUUAAGUCUUUGAGACUUGUAUCGUUCGCAAAUCACCGCCUCGAACACCUUUCUCUUUAUAUGUUUUAAAAAAUUCGCGACUUUCCGGGAGAACCAAUUCAGCAUUUUUCUUCUAAACAGAGUAGCGUUUCCUGAAGUACAUCUAGGUCUGGUAUGUCUAUCCCAACCCCCACCUCGCAGUCCUGCUGGAUGUCUGCAUAAGGACACUCCAAAAUGCAGCAUACCAUUUCUUAAAAAUGUAUACAGUAUAUAAGGGGGAGAGUGUGAUUCCUAAUAUAAAGCCCACAACUCACUCUGCAGACAAAUGUGGUCAGUAAUUACGACACGGUGACAUUGGCUCAAAAAACUUAACAAUCCUGUACGUAUUCCUCGGCCCCUCCAGCGCUAGUACAAUUUACCCACAUUAAGUCCAGUUACCUGGUGAUCCAUUUAAUUGUACUUAAUAUCAACACAUAGUGAAGGGCAGUGUAGCACUGACAUCUCUGACCCGAGGUGAUCCUAGCUCUUUUGAUGUCACGGAAAUCGAUCUAUAUUUAAAUUAAUCCCAUAAAAGGAAAAUUGAAUGUGUUCAGAAUUCAAGUCACCAUGCAAGUAUGUGGAACGCGUAUAUUUUUGUUUCUUGUGGAUUUGAUUAAUUAACCUUUCUUUUGAUUUUUUAAAAAAUGGUUGCAUAUUUUCCUCUUGAUUUAAGGGAAAGGAUACCGCGUAGUUCCAGUAAAUAUAGACUCCUAACUUGUGUUACCCUGAGCGCGCGUAAUCACUAUUUGAACUGGCUUGCAGCUGAACAAAUAUUCAGGGCAAGAAAAAAAUACACAUUUAGGAGUCGAUAUAUUAUUAUUUUUAUUGGAGAGGGGCUCCACAUUCAAUUGUAGAUAUUUUACAAAAAGAGCUUAGUAUUGCUGCCUGGUCGUUGUUACAUAUUGUCUACAUAUUGUCACCCAAUCACUGCUUUCUCUUUAUUUCGUUUAUUAAAUCUGCUGUAAGUAACCAGGUCGCAAUUUUGACCAUAAUAUAGUCGAUUUUCUACAUUUAGGUUUUUUUGUUAAGUCGAUAACUAAUUUACUUAGACAGCAAAAGUAAUCAGAGAUUGUCACAGUGAGGGAGGCGGAAGGGAAAAUAAACAGUUUCUAUGGAAGAUACUGAUACGAUUAACCUCUACCCUGAUUUGAACCAGUAGCUGGGCAUAAAGUCUAUAGCAUUCCCAGUAAAAUAAGAAUUGUAUUGACAGUUAUUGUGUAAAUAAUAGGAAUUGAUGCUGUUAAUGCUUAUAUGAAAUAUCAAGUCUGAUUUUGACGCACAGAUUCGAAGGUAAAUCGGCUUAUUAUUUAAGUAUACUACUUUCAUCUGAAUAACAAUACAAAAAUGUGCAAAAAGAAAAAUUGGGGAUUAGUCUUGACCUGAAACCUGGCGAUUUCAGAUUUCAGGGUAACCUAUUAAAUACCACUGUCGAACACCGAUUGCAAAGAUUUUUGUUUUGGAAUAUCAAUCCUGCAGUGUCGUCAUAAAACUCUCUCCGCUCAUCAACAGAAAGUGGGAAUAAACAGGAUUCUCCUACCCUGUUAACACUGACGCUAGAAUUGAGGCUUUCCAUAAUUAGUCGAGACUAGGGACCUUAUUAGAACUACCUCUGAUAUAAUAGGAUUUAAAGAUGUCUGGUGGCCGAGGAUGAUCAGGAUCUGCCUGCAUGGUAUGAAAACGCUAAUACUGAGCAUACAAGUAGAGACUAAUACUGAUUAGACGGUAGCAGUGUUCUAAUAUAACGCAAAAGCUGACAGUAGUUGGGACGCCCAUUUGAAAUUGGGGACAGAAUGAAUGCAGUGUUUCUGCUUAAUGCUUUAAUCAUGCCAAAUGUUUGUGAGAAAAGAAAAGGUGCGUUUUGAAUAAUUUAAUGAUUAUGAAGUCGUCAGGCAAAUCGAAAAUUGACUUUUAAAGCGUUCUGGGACUUGGUAAAGAUCUGGAACGCUUAGCUAGCCUUCAGCUCCGCGUUUAGAACAUUUCUUUUAGACUGUCCCAGAGCGCGAAUCAAACCCAGUGACCCAUAUUACAAAAGGACAGAGGCAGAGGACACAAGUGGUCGAGUUUUUCAUUUGAAACUCCUUGGAGAAUAUUUGACAAGAGUUGAAGGGGAAGGAGGAUUGUGAGUGAUCACAAAAUAAGGAGGUGUGUACAUCACUUGGUUCCCCGAGCUGGGAGGGGACGAGUAGAAAUGUUCAUCACGAACUUGUAGCAAGUUUCGCCAACUUGACUCUUUAUUUAAUAAAGAAAAUGUUAGAAUUCCUGACCGAUUUCCAAUAGUUUAGACGCGAUUAAUAAAGCACAGAGUAUGUUAAUACUGUUCUGAGCGAAUGCUGCUUUCAAUUCAUUGCAACUAUCUUUGAUAGGUUAAUGCUGAACUCUUAAUAAGCACAUUGUGCCCGGGUCUGCUUUGUUCCAACUGACCUGACCAAAUCCUUGUACUUGCUGCUGUUUUAAUUUGAGCUCUAAGCAUUCUAAUUACAGAGGCUCCGACCAUUAAGAUUGGUUGAUUUAAACUUGUCAAACUGACCUGAAAUUUGACAGCCUGCAGUUGAGAAACAAAUCUCUCUCUCUCUCUCUGUACAGGCGAAUAAAAAGCAGGGACUCAUACAUAAGGUGGUAAUUGUGAAUUCGCUGAUCACUGGUCAUAUAGAAGGGUAGUGGCUGCAAACGCUUAAAAAAAAUCAUUAUUCACUUUCCUGUAUUUUGAAAAUCAACUAAGCUUUUUGCCUCGCUAGUAACUGCUCCCUGCAUUCAGACUUCAAUGCGUCCAGAUUGCACCAGCUGGAGAGGGGGGUUAAACUCAAAUAUUCACAUCGUUCUUGGCCGGGACCGGGCAGUUUUUUUUAAAUCCGAAAGUGUUCCCCGCCGUAGCCUGAGGGAGGCUUUACGAGGAAUGGGUCGGCUCCCGUUUUUUUGUUCAAGCUUUUGAAUUAAAAAGUGAUUGCUAAAUUUCCUCAGGUUGUGACGAGUUUGUUUUAAGAGGAAGUUAUUGGCGAAUAAAAGGCUGGGCAGAGACAUUGCAAGACAUACACCCUGUUUCUCCGAAGGAGCAUUGCCCAACAUUAUAGUUCACCCCAAACUCGGCCGUUUCAAUCUUUAUGACAGACCGCGGGGAUCGAGGGUCAGCAUCGGUCUGCAAAUAUAUGCUUUCUAUAACAGCAACCCCCCAACCCCACCCCUCUGAAAACUGUCCGGCUUUAAACAUUGUUCCGAGCUGAAGGAAGGAGCGUCGAAUGUAACUUUUGUUGCAGCUUUUCACAAAGCACAGUCAAGCUGCAAGAAACACUGUUUGUUUCCUCGGACCUGGAAAUUCUGAGCUUUCUCGCAUACAGUCUGAGCCAGUUAAUAAGCCUGCUGCAGUGAUCACCCGAGCCGAAUGGAGACUGCACACAGUCAGAUAUCUGGCUGCAAUUCUCUGCAGAUUGCUGAAACAUAGCAACAACGAUCGCAAAACAACAGCGAGUUACUUACUGGGACGCGAGCGCUGUAAAUUCGUGGCACACAUGUACAGGCAAGAGGAAAGUUUAACAGCGAAACGCAACCGCGAUUAGAAAGGAAUAAACUGCUUGAGCGAGUCGUUGCAAUGGAGAAUUUGCUGAUACGUUUCUCAAGGGCAUCGUGGAGAUUUAUUUUUCAAUCUCAACAUGAACACACGAGCAAGACAGAUCAAGCUAAUCUCCCAGCCCCUCUCGCUCCCCGCUCCUUUUCUUAUUGGCAAAAAAAGGGCCACACACUAAUGCUGCUGAAGACAGCGGCACUUUUCGGCAUUGGGAACGUGACGACCGCCGAAAUAAAAUGGUGAAUUUUAAUUUUCUAACUGGGAGCUGAAGAGGCCGUUUGAGCGCGCGAGUGGUUGCCUCGGGAGCGCAGUAAACGGGGACUCGUCCCAGCAAAAGGUAGGCGCUAUGAGAGAGCGUGCAAGGGCCGUGUGUAUUGACUGGUGCGUUUGUGUGACAGCGCGACCUAAAUAAAUCGAAAGUAAAAAUGAAAAUAGCGAAGGGGCCUCCAGCUGAGAUCUAGAUCCAUAACUAUAGGUCGUAAAAAUAGUUUCAUUCAGGCAUGAAGCGAGUUUGUAAGUUAGACUGCAAUAUGAUAAAUAGAUUCAGAAACCCUUUCGAAAUACUUAAAGGAAUGACCCUUUACCACCCGACAGAAACAGAAAUGAGUAGUGAGCACAGCGUCGGUGAGGGAGAUGCCUUGACUGGCUCUGAAUUUUCCCUGACUGUCCAACUUGAUGUAGAACACGGUCAAACAUAUUCGGCACUGCAAUUACAAAGCAGGAGGGUGCUCCGUUCGCUGGGGUGUUGGCCCCCUGAUAGGAUGGCAGGAGCGAUUGCUAUCAAGCCCCGCGUCUACAACAGUGUUUCGGGUCUAUGGAGUAAUUCAAAUAAGCACGGACUGGGGUUAUCCCCCCGUGUGGGAAGCACUGACGGCAGCAAUAAAUUCCCUCAAACGUUGUUUCCCUUUAGAGAAAAACACUUCUACAUGGUCCAUUUACUGCGAUCUCCCCCCCCCCCCCCUCCGCCAACCCCCACAAUUACCUUCUCCCCACAUGUCCCAUUACCUAGCGGUCAGUUUGUGAAACAUUAUCAAACAUUGGUUGCAAUUAGAAGGCUUCCGCUUGCCAGCUAAAAACCGAAAGAACUGCGGAUGAUGUAAAUCAGGAACAGAAACAGAAGUUACUGGAAAAGCUCAGCAGGCCUGGCAGCAUCUUGUGAAGAAAAAUCAGAGGACGGGUCACCGGAUUCGAAAUGUUCACUCUGAUUUCACUUCACUGCCGCUGCCAGACCUACUCAGCUUUUCCAGCAACUUCUGUUUUCGUUCCAGGUACUAACAUCCGCCUCCUGAAGUGCGUGAAAAAUGGACAUUAAAUCUAGUUUUAAAUUAGGCCUGAUUGUUGUUAGUUUGAAGAGUAGCCCUUGCACAAAAUGAGCGCUUUUGAAACCAUCUCUAUUUUGCAGGGCUUUAUCUAUCUUCAAAUGUUUUCCCGUGUGAAGGCACAGGGUCCCUGCCCGUUCUCAGUUGUAGGAAAUGUAGAUUUGAGUCGUCUGAAAACUUGAGCACACAUCCCGGUUUAUUGCCAUGUGGUAAUUUAUGCUUAUCAUUUUUAGUGUCUCUUUCUUUCUGUUCCGCUAUACUUCCAGCCUUUUCCGAUCCACUCCCAAGAAUGUCCAAAUGGGGACAUAGUGUUUCACCAGACACUUAGUGCUAAAAUCGGCUGACCCGUCAUUUUUCCACUCCGCGUUUUGCAGCCAGCAGGAAAACGCUGGCUAGCAAUGUCGUUUGCGAUACCACCAGUUCAUUUUUCAGAGCUCCAAACAAAACAAAAAUAUGGCUUUCACUUGUAUAAAUUUAAAGAAUGUAGAGCCGGGAAGUUAUGAGUGUUACCGGGGAAGAAACUGAGCACUCUGUGACAAUGACCAACUAGAAUUAAACGGACAAAUGCUUGUCGCUCCGCGAUUUCUAUUCAAACAGAGAACUUGUGGCUGGCAUCGUGGAGCGUCCCGCUACUUCAGACCCAAAAUGACCGAGCUCACUUUAUAGGCACUGAGAAAAUAUACAUGGAUUUCAUUGAGAUGAUGAACAGGGAUGUUUAUAAUCAGUUUUUAUUGCCAUUUUAUUGAAUGUUCGAAUCUAUAUGUGAAUACAGACGGAAAUACAAGCACUGUUCGAAAGACCAUUUUGUGAUGACUAGAUUUAAAAUCUUCGAGCAUUAAUGUUUGACACCCAGAUAUCAAAUUUAUGUAGCGAUAAUAGUGGAAGUGAAAAUGAGGCUCCUCACAACUGUCAAACUGUAGCAACUUAAAAUAUGGUUUAUGUAGGGACUGAACAUAUAUAUCUUGUAAUAUAUAUUAGUGUAAUAAUAUAGGGAUCCGCUGGGAUGACGAACAUUCCCGGUAAAAGGUACAAGUAUGAUGACAAAAAGAUCUAAACUUGGGUUAAGUAAUGAAUGUACUGUGUGCGUGUGACAGUGUGAGUUUCAGAGAGCGUGAAUGAAGCAGAACGGUAGAAACAGUAUUAACAUAGUUGGGGGAUUUCAUCUCCCUGGUGGUGCCUCAACGCGUGGGGAGGAAGUUCAAGGUAAACCGGGCCUUUGUUAUCACAGACAGUCCUUCAGCUCACACAGUCGACCCAGGAGCUGAUGCUGAACUCUUGUGUCCUGUCCAGACUCCGGCGUACAGAUCCCGCGCCCUUAAUGAAUGCAGCCUUGUAUAAUUAAAUAAUUGACUGUUCCCCGGAGGAGCUAUUCGGCGCAUCUGUUCACUGGCUCCACAGGGGAUCCUAGACAAUAUAGGACAAGCAGAAGCUGGAGGAGGAAUCCCGGCACAGAGCUGGUUGUUUCAUCACAGACUGUUUGGGUAAACGCCACCUGCUUUUCAAAUAAGCGAGAACAAAAAUCAGGAAAUACUGAACAAAACACAUUUUAACAUUUAAAACAAUGUAGUAUUUCAAAACAAUUAAUUCAUUUGUUUUGCAGAUGUCUUUAGUAUGAUCACAGAUUUUCUACUUACAAGUCAACACUAUCCAUUAAAAUUAUUUACACAUUGUAACAAUUCUGCUUUUACUAAGGAGCCUAGGUAUCAUUUAUACUAGACAGACCAGGGACCAGUUGGCUGAUCUGAAUGAAAAUCGGUUUGGCGGGCAGGAGGACAGGACUGAAUGUUUUGUCUGCAAGUAUAAAAGAACAGCAAAUAUGGACCCAAACUUUUGGUGCGAAUUGUAUGUUGAUAGUUUGCUUUGGGCUGUGGCAAGUGAUGAAAGGUUUCAGCUUCUUUUUGUUUAGUGAAUCCCUCGCAAAAUCACAAAUGAGGGAAUUUGCAAUAAAUAUCUUGAUGUAGACAGCAGCAACCAGGAAGAGAGAGCAGCACGCAUCGAGUGACUGUGGCGGUAUAGAUUAAUCUGUAAUAAAAAAUGAACCAAUA